CACCAUGCCCAGAAACCACCAUCCACUUUUAUAAUUUAUUUUGGUGGCACUGGGAAUUUCACCUUGCUCAUGUUAGACUCAAGGAGGAAGAGUGAGGUGUACAGACAAUGGAGCCCAACUGUGGGUGUCACCUCAUCACUAUACAGCCCUGAGCAACAAGCUGAACUUCUCUGCGCAUGGUUUAAGAUGGAAAUUAUGAGUUCUCCAGAGCUCAGGGCAGCGCCAGGCCAACAGUGGCACCUAGUCUGGCCAGAUGGAUGAAGGCAGGUGAAAGAGGUCUGAUGGCAGUUUGAGGCUUAGCCAGUGGACACCAGGCAUAGGGACCGCAGGAAAGGUGAAAGUGGACGCUGAACACCUGGCUGGAAGCCCCAAGACCCAUCAGAGUUCUCUUCAGUUCGCCUCCCCCUCCCAGGAAACCUUUUUCGGAGAAUUUCUAAGGGGACCUCAGCCAGGCAGAGGGGGUAUGGGUCCUGCCCACCACGCUCAGGAGGAGGUGAG